UCGAUUGUCCCAGCCGCCGCGGUAAUACGUAGGGUGCAAGCGUUAUCCGGAAUUAUUGGGCGUAAAGGGCUCGUAGGCGGUUCGUCGCGUCCGGUGUGAAAGUCCAUCGCUUAACGGUGGAUCCGCGCCGGGUACGGGCGGGCUUGAGUGCGGUAGGGGAGACUGGAAUUCCCGGUGUAACGGUGGAAUGUGUAGAUAUCGGGAAGAACACCAAUGGCGAAGGCAGGUCUCUGGGCCGUUACUGACGCUGAGGAGCGAAAGCGUGGGGAGCGAACAGGAUUAGAUACCCUGGUAGUCCACGCCGUAAACGGUGGAUGCUGGAUGUGGGGCCCGUUCCACGGGUUCCGUGUCGGAGCUAACGCGUUAAGCAUCCCGCCUGGGGAGUACGGCCGCAAGGCUAAAGCUCAAAGAAAUUGACGGGGGCCCGCACAAGCGGCGGAGCAUGCGGAUAAUUCGAUGCAACGCGAAGAACCUUACCUGGGCUUGACAUGUUCCCGACGAUCCCAGAGAUGGGGUUUCCCUUCGGGGCGGGUUCACAGGUGGUGCAUGGUCGUCGUCAGCUCGUGUCGUGAGAUGUUGGGUUAAGUCCCGCAACGAGCGCAACCCUCGCCCCGUGUUGCCAGCGGAUUAUGCCGGGAACUCACGGGGGACCGCCGGGGUUAACUCGGAGGAAGGUGGGGAUGACGUCAGAUCAUCAUGCCCCUUACGUCCAGGGCUUCACGCAUGCUACAAUGGCCGGUACAACGGGAUGCGACAGUGCGAGCUGGAGCGGAUCCCUGAAAACCGGUCUCAGUUCGGAUCGCAGUCUGCAACUCGACUGCGUGAAGGCGGAGUCGCUAGUAAUCGCGAAUCAGCAACGUCGCGGUGAAUGCGUUCCCGGGCCUUGUACACACCGCCCGUCAAGUCAUGAAAGUGGGCAGCACCCGAAGCCGGUGGCCUAACCCCUUGCGGGAGGGAGCCGUCUAAGGUGAGGCUCGUGAUUGGGACUAAGUCGUAACAAGGUAACCA
rnacentral:rRNA from 1 species